rnacentral:rRNA from 1 species
ACCCUACGGAGGCAGCAGUGAGGUAUAUUGGUCAAUGGCCGAGAGGCUGAACCAGCCAAGUCGCGUGAGGGAAGACGGCCCUACGGGUUGUAAACCUCUUUUGUCGGGGAGCAAAGAGAGUCACGUGUGACUCAUUGAGAGUACCCGAAGAAAAAGCAUCGGCUAACUCCGUGCCAGCAGCCGCGGUAAUACGGAGGAUGCGAGCGUUAUCCGGAUUUAUUGGGUUUAAAGGGUGCGCAGGCGGAGGUGCAAGUCAGCGGUCAAAUUGCGGGGCUCAACCCCGUACUGCCGUUGAAACUGCAUCC